CCACUGAAGUGCGUGAAUUUCAUACCAAACCCAUACUUCGCAUUCCACCUUUACUGUCAAACCGGGAGAAAUAUUACUGAAAACAAUAGAGCACCAAGAUAAAUAUAACUUUAAAGAAAUACACCUCGUCUAGUUCUAUCGGUAGAGGUGUUUCUCAAUAAAGAGAAUUGUCAGAGAGAAGUGUUUGGAGAGAUCGCUCACCCCUUUUUCUACGUUAUCAGGACAGAGUGAAGACCUCCCUCCUGGACAGGAUCCUCCACUCGCUUGUUUCCCACCAAAAAAACAACGGCGCAGAUGGACUCCAACGCUCGCUCCAUGCGCUGGAAAGUCCCUCCGCUCCUCUGACAGUUAGCGGAGACCCUGAAAUGUGAUCAGAUGACUUACUGAGACUGGAAGAGACUUUAUAAAACCCAAGAUGUGGAGAUGCAGGAUAAGCUUCUUUGAGAAUCCUAGCAUAUUUACAUAAAUGGGAUUGUAACACCAUGACUUCUCUUCUUGUUUUGAGAUGAUGGAAAGUCCAGAUUUGGAUUAAAUCC